rnacentral:tRNA from 1 species
CAGGUACUAGGUUUAUAUUUAUUUACAUUAAAAUUUAAGGUUGUUCAAUUCAAUCGUGCCUGA